CAUAUCAACUACUACCGUAUGCAUGCCUUUCGUUCUCUUGUCAAGAACUGUGGCCUCCUUGAUAUUGGUUAUAGUGGUCCUGCUUACACUUGGCGAGGUAGACAAAAUACAUCCAAACCUAUCCAUCGUCGCCUUGACCGUUGUUUAGUUAACUCUGAUUGGUGUGCUCAUUUCCCUAACACUAAGGUCCUCAAUCUUCCCAUUAUUCUUAGUGACCAUGCUCCUAUUUUGAUUUCCACUGAUAGUCACUUUGUUAAACCCAAACAAUCUUUUAAAUUUAAAAAC
rnacentral:rRNA from 1 species